rnacentral:rRNA from 1 species
GGAAUCUUCGGCAAUGGACGAAAGUCUGACCGAGCAACGCCGCGUGAGUGAAGAAGGUUUUCGGAUCGUAAAACUCUGUUGUUAGAGAAGAACAAGGAUGAGAGUAACUGUUCAUCCCUUGACGGUAUCUAACCAGAAAGCCACGGCUAACUACGUGCCCG